rnacentral:rRNA from 1 species
GACGAACGCUGGCGGCGUGCUUAACACAUGCAAGUCGAACGGUAAGGCCCUUCGGGGUACACGAGUGGCGAACGGAUGAGUAACACGUGGGUGAUCUGCCCUGCACUUCGGGAUAGGCCUGGGAAACUGGGUCUAAUACCGGAUAGGACCACUGCCUGCAUGGGUGGUGGUGGAAAGCUUUUGCGGUGUGGGAUGGGCCCACGGCCUAUCAGCUUGUUGGUGGGGUGAUGGCCCACCAAGGCGACGACGGGUAGCCGGCCUGAGAGGGUGACCGGCCACACUGGGACUGAGAUACGGCCCAGACUCCUACGGGAGGCAGCAGUGGGGAAUAUUGCACAAUGGGCGCAAGCCUGAUGCAGCGACGCCGCGUGAGGGAUGACGGCCUUCGGGUUGUAAACCUCUUUCAGCACCGACGAAGCGCAAGUGACGGUAGGUGCAGAAGAAGGACCGGCCAACUACGUGCCAGCCGCCGCAGUAA